rnacentral:rRNA from 1 species
GGCGUCCGAGUUGUAAUUUGCAGAGGGCGCUUUGGCAUUGGCAGCGGUCCAAGUUCCUUGGAACAGGACGUCACAGAGGGUGAGAAUCCCGUACGUGGUCGCUAGCCUUUACCGUGUAAAGCCCCUUCGACGAGUCGAGUUGUUUGGGAAUGCAGCUCUAAAUGGGAGGUAAAUUUCUUCUAAAGCUAAAUACUGGCCAGAGACCGAUAGCGCACAAGUAGAGUGAUCGAAAGAUGAAAAGCACUUUGGAAAGAGAGUUAAAAAGCACGUGAAAUUGUUGAAAGGGAAGCGCUUGCAGCCAGACUUGCCUGUAGUUGCUCAUCCGGGUUUUUACCCGGUGCACUCUUCUACGGGCAGGCCAGCAUCAGUUUGGGCGGUUGGAUAAAGGUCUCUGUCAUGUACCUCCUCUCGGGGAGAUCUUAUAGGGGAGACGACAUGCAACCAGCCUGGACUGAGGUCCGCGCAUCUGCUAGGAUGCUGGCGUAAUGGCUGUAAGCGGCCCGUCUUGAAACACGGACCAAGGAGUCUAACAUCUAUGCGAGUGUUUGGGUGUCAAGCCCGAACGCGUAAUGAAAGUGAACGGAGGUGGGAACCUUUCGGGGUGCACCAUCGACCGAUCCUGAUGUCUUCGGAUGGAUUUGAGUAAGAGCAUAGCUGUUGGGACCCGAAAGAUGGUGAACUAUGCUUGAAUAGGGUGAAGCCAGAGGAAACUCUGGUGGAGGCUCGCAGCGGUUCUGACGUGCAAAUCGAUCGUCAAAUUUGGGCAUAGGGGCGAAAGACUAAUCGAACUAUCUAGUAGCUGGUUCCUGCCGAAGUUUCCCUCAGGAUAGCAGUAACGUUUUCAGUUUUAUGAGGUAAAGCGAAUGAUUAGAGGCCUGGGGGUUGAAACAACCUU